rnacentral:snRNA from 1 species
AUCACAUGCCAUGUUUAGCCUCA